UUUUUUUUUUUUUUUUUUUUGCUCUGGACCUGGCCCAUAAUAGGUGCUCAAUAAAUUUUUGGUAAAUAAAUGAUUCAAACUUUUUACACUUCAAGAUAAAAAGUAUGAAAAGCUGGUGGGGAUAAAGUCUCGGUUCUUUUCCUAGCCCCAGUCCCAUAGCAUUUCAGAGAUGGGGUAGGUGGUGCUACACUACUCAACAGGCUUUUGUUUUUUAACUCAUUUAACUCAAGUGAGUUGGUGAAGGCAUUCAAUUGGUGGUUUUUUAUGUAUAGAGAAAUUACCUCUGUCCUGAUUUGGAAUAUCUGUGCUAUUUUGGGCUGUUUUUCUCUUUUGGGCCUGUUUGUAUUGUAGCAAUAAUUUCACCAUUUGGCUAUGCAGAGGCCCAAUUAAUAUUACAAAUGUGGUCCUAUAAAAUGUGCUUUUUGACAUCAGAACGUUUUGUUGCUAAUUACUCUCCAAGGUUUUUAAUUUCAAGCCCUCCUUGGUGACUUAGUGCAGAAAUUUAAGGACAUAAUUAUUUCCCCCCAAGGGAAAAGAGAUCUAGGUAAUGCCAAGUUUCUAUCUAUUUGCCCUUCCUUCCAGGGGGUAUCUUGUUUUUGAUUCUAUCUCCGCCCUUUUUCCUGGACAGAAAAUAAACAUGCAAACAAAAACCCUAUUGGAACAAAAAUAUAAAUUUCUGGAAAACAUUAAAAGCACUCAUUUACUAAUGUAUUAAUUAAAACAAUAUUUACUGAGCACCUACUAUGUGUCAGAUGCUGCAUGCUAGGCACUAAAAAUAAAAAAGAAUAUAGCAUGGUGCUGUCUCCAGGUAGCUCACAGUCAAGUGGGCAGCAAGCAAGUGCUGGGAAUUCUCUGACACAUCUGGAAACAUCUGGGGGUGCUUCUCAUGGUGGGGCUUAUUCAUUAGAGCCCAUCCAGAAGUGCCACAUCAGUCUCCACGAAUUAAAAUCAGGAGAGCUUUGGCCAUUUCUCAUUUGAAGACCUUGGCUAACUGAAAGAAAUCCACAUUUUAAUAACAUUUUGAAUGGGUUGAUAAAAUAGGAACAGAUGGUUAAAGUUUGUCAUUUUAGGGAAAAUAAUGAAAUAUUGUACUGCUUAAUCUGUCUUCCUGUCACACUCUUCCCUAUCCCCUCCCUACUGAAAAUAUAUUCAGAUGCAACAAAACUUAAAGCAAAAUACUAAUAUCUUCUUAGACACUUUAGGUCUCUUCACCUGAAAGUGCUCUAAUUGUGUCAGCCAUCUCUGUGUUAACUUUAUCUUUUUUUUUUUUUCAGACACAUUCUCACUUUGUCACCAGGCUGGAGUGCAGUGGAGCAAUCUUGGUUCGCUGCAAUCUCUGCUUCCUGGGUUCAAGUGAUUCUCCUGUCUCAGCCUCCUAAGUAGCUGGGACUCCAGGCGCAUACCACCAUGACUGGCUAAUUUUUGUAUUUUUAGUAGAGACGGGGUUUCACCAUGUUGGCCAGGCUGGUCUUGAACUUCUGGCCCCAAGUCAUCUGCCUGCCUCAGCCUCCCAAAGUGCUGGGAUUACAAGUGUGAGCCACUGUGUACAGCCUUUGUGUUAACUUACUUUGAAUUAGCCCCUUAUUCCAAAGCUGCCUCCUGAAAGGAGGCUUCCUAAAAGGUGUUGCUUUGGGGUAAAUAAGAGGUGCUGGUGAAGUGAGACUAGCUUGCGCAUCUCUCUGCCAUGAAGGAAACUAGCUCCGCAGACGUUUUACUAACCACAGCAGACCCCCUCCUUGAGGAACCCAGAAGGGCAGAGAGCAUCAGAUGAAAUCAACUGCUGAGAGAGGGAAGUGAGUGCUGUGUUGGCACCGCUGCCAGAAACUCUUGAGAAUGAGCAUCGUGUGCCACUUAUCCACUGCUUGCCGACUUCAGUAGCAAGAGCCUCCAGAAUGCUCAUGGAUAAACAUCAUCUUUGUGGCCACACAUUGUUUUAUGAGCUGAGUCAUCAGACUGGCUGGCUCCUUAAAUGCUGCUGUGUGAUUCUCUAGGCAGCAGAAAACAAGGAGAGAAGAUAUGAAGUGUAUCUCAUCGAGCUUUGUAGAGGGCCAGUAUCAUUCACCAAAGGUGAUGGGGGAUUUACCAUUAUGGAGUUUGCUUGUGAUAAAAAAUUAUUGAUCAACUUAAACUCUAAGAGAAAAAGAUGAUGCUGUCUGCAUUUCUUGUAAAUUAUUUAUAAAAUUUGUUUGGGUAUCGGCUAUUUUUAACAGCCACCAGUCUUAACGAAUUUCCUGCAGAAAACUUGAUUCCUUCCUUGCUCAUCGAGUUGCAAUUUAUCAUCUAAGGUAAUGAGUUAAACCCAAAAGUAACAGUGACAUGAUAAGUGAAACUGUUUGCAUACUUUGUUUUUUAAAUUGCUCUAUCAUGUUUAUCUUUUUUAUAGCUACUCAAUAAGACAUUGCAAUGAAUUUUUA
rnacentral:lncRNA from 10 species